AGCUGAUGCACAUCCGGUGGUUUUCCUCCCAGUGCCACCCGCAGCAGCUGUUCCCCUCUGGAGGUUUUUACCUUCAAAACUAUAAAGGGCCCAAGUUCAUCUUGUGGCCCUCUUUU
rnacentral:sRNA from 1 species